rnacentral:lncRNA from 1 species
GUAUCAUAUAUAUCAAUUCACUUUAUAAUUGUGAGAGUAACUGCAAAUGUGAGUUCAUUGGUCUAUGAAGAAACUUCAAUGCAGAUCAGCACCUUUACUUCAACUUAGGGUGUGACAGAUGGAGUUGCCAGAACUCUGAAAGGAUAAAUGAUCGCCAGGAUCACAUAGCCAGCAUGUCUCCAAGACAUCACUUGAAACCAGAUCUUCCUGGCCUCACCACACUGACUUUCUUAGAGGAAUAUGCCUUGCUUAUGCAGAGAGGUGGGGCCAAUUGAUGAAGUUAUAAUGGAGAAGAGAUAGUGAGGUCAUAAAUAAGUUACAAUAAAGUAUAAUUUGUUAUGGCUUUGUGAGGUAUAAAGUUGUUUAAGCAAGGUCUAUGGAAUUAGGGGCUCACUAACCACUAACUAUAUCCCCAGAGGCCCUUUAAAAAUCAAGAAACUCUAUGGCAUGAGUUGAGGUAGGAGACAGCUCUGAAGAAUAUGAGCCUUCUGAGUCUAGAAGAGAAUAUGCUAUGAAAGAACUUAAUUCUUGAGGGGAAGCCUUUCUCACCUCUGGGAUGAAAGGAAUUUCACUUGCCUCCAAUCCACAUAGAUUGGAAAUUCGAGAUGGGGGUAACUCUCAGGAAGCUCAGAGUUUUCAUUGGGAGAAUGUGGCUGGGAAAUAGCUGGAUUAUUUGGACAGCUCCAAGAUUGAACAGGGCAUCUUCUCUCCCCCUUCACAGUCUUGAUAAUUUCAGAUGGAGAAACUAA